UGGGGAAUAUUGCACAAUGGGGGAAACCCUGAUGCAGCGACGCCGCGUGAGCGAAGAAGGUUUUCGAAUCGUAAAGCUCUGUCCUAUGAGAAGAUAAUGACGGUAUCAUAGGAGGAAGCCCCGGCUAAAUACGUGCCAGCAGCCGCGGUAAUACGUAUGGGGCGAGCGUUGUCCGGAAUUAUUGGGCGUAAAGGGUACGUAGGCGGUCUAUUAAGUCAGGUGUGAAAGCGUGAGGCUUAACCUCAUUAAGCACUUGAAACUGAUAGACUUGAGUGAAGGAGAGGAAAGUGGAAUUCCAAGUGUAGCGGUGAAAUGCGUAGAUAUUAGGAGGAAUACCGGUGGCGAAGGCGACUUUCUGGACUUUUACUGACGCUCAGGUACGAAAGCGUGGGGAGCAAACAGG
rnacentral:rRNA from 1 species